rnacentral:lncRNA from 10 species
ACUGCUGGCAGCUCCCAGGCUGCCAUGUGCAACUCAGCUCCAGCUCCUCCCUGGUUUACAGCCUUGGGCUGUGGUCUUCAGGGAGCAGAGUGGAAAUGGACUUUGAGACAGGAAAACUGGGGAAGAAAAUAAUACCUGCUGUGAGAUGAAAAUAUCUUGGUGCACUGAAGUUAUAUCCAUGAACAAAAAGCCAACAAUCUCAGCCUGCCUGUGGAACUUACACUUUGGGUUAAUUGACUGAAUUGGAAAGAAAGAAUAAGCCAAAAGCAGAGGGAAGAGAAAAAACGUAAAGUGCAGUGAGUUCACAAACUACAAAAUUUAAGAGGAAACAAUCUACCUUCAGCUACAGUCUACAGACAAAACAAAAAGCAGCAAUUUGUCUUCCCCAAACUUGGGGCAUGUUGUCAAGAAGGAAAUGAAGAGGAAGUAUUCGUAUUAAGGCAGUACCGUAGAAAUUCAAUUUUAAAUGGAAGAAUGCUUGCUUUACUUUGAGCUGGAGGUCAGAGUGCUAUCCAGCAAAGGCCAGUGUGGAGACCCCAGUCCAGCC